GUGCCACUAUCAAAGCACAUGUGCUAAAUUUGGAACCAUGUAGAUUAUCAUGGUCCCUGGGCAAGGAUGACACUCAGGUUAGCAAAGUGUUCCAUACUUUU
rnacentral:snRNA from 1 species